UACGUAGGGUGCGAGCGUUGUCCGGAAUUAUUGGGCGUAAAGGGCUCGUAGGCGGUUUGUCGCGUCGGGAGUGAAAACACUGGGCUUAACUCAGUGCUUGCUUCCGAUACGGGCAGACUAGAGGUAUUCAGGGGAGAACGGAAUUCCUGGUGUAGCGGUGAAAUGCGCAGAUAUCAGGAAGAACACCCGUGGCGAAGGCGGUUCUCUGGGACGGUACUGACGCUGAGACGCGAAAGCGUGGGGAGCGAACAGG
rnacentral:rRNA from 1 species